rnacentral:ncRNA from 1 species
GCUAGGGGAGCGAAAGCUGAGAGCCCGGGUUCGUCCCGGAUACCCUCAUAACCUGAUCCGGAUCAUACCGGCGUAGGGAAGCAGAAU